rnacentral:rRNA from 1 species
UGGGGAAUCUUGCGCAAUGGGGGAAACCCUGACGCAGCGACGCCGCGUGCGGGAUGACGGCCCUAGGGUUGUAAACCGCUUUCAGCAGGGACGAAAUUGACGGUACCUGCAGAAGAAGGCCCGGCUAACUACGUGCCAGCAGCCGCGGUAAUACGUAGGGGCCAAGCGUUGUCCGGAAUCAUUGGGCGUAAAGAGCUCGUAGGCGGUUUGGUAAGUCGGAUGUGAAAUCUCCACGCUCAACGUGGAGCGGCCAUCCGGUACUGCCAUGACUUGAGUCCGGUAGGGGAGUGUGGAAUUCCCGGUGUAGCGGUGAAAUGCGCAGAGAUCGGGAGGAACACCCGUAGCGAAGGCGGCACUCUGGGCCGGUACUGACGCUGAGGAGCGAAAGCGUGGGGAGCGAACAGGAUUAGAUACCCGUGUAGUCC